rnacentral:rRNA from 1 species
AUACGUAGGUGGCAAGCGUUGUCCGGAAUUAUUGGGCGUAAAGCGCAUGUAGGCGGUUUUGUAAGUCGGUCGUGAAAAUGCGGUGCUUAAAGCGGGAUGGGGAUCGGAACUGCUGAACGUGAGUGCAGGAGAGGAAAGGGGAACUCCCAGUGUAGCGGGGAAAUGCGUAGAUAUUGGGAAGAACACCGGUGGCGAAGGCGCCUUUCUGGACUGUGUCUGACGCUCAGAUGCGAAAGCCAGGGUAGAACGGGAUUAGAUACCCCGGUAGUCCUGGCCGUAAACGAUGGGUACUAGGUGUGGGAGGUAUCGACUCCUUCCGUGCCGGAGUUAACGCAAUAAGUACCCCGCCUGGGGAGUACGGCCGCAAGGCUUAAACUCAAAUGAAUUGGCGGGG